AAGAAACCAACAGGGAUUGCCUCAGUAACGGCGAGUGAAGCGGCAUCAGCUCAAAUUUGAAAUCUGGCUCUUUUAGAGUCCGAGUUGUAAUUUGCAGAGGGCGCUUUGGCAUAGGCAGCGAUUCAAGUUCCUUGGAACAGGACGUCACAGAGGGUGAGAAUCCCGUACGUGGUCGCUAGCUCUUGCCGUGUAAAGCCCCUUCGACGAGUCGAGUUGUUUGGGAAUGCAGCUCUAAAUGGGAGGUAAAUUUCUUCUAAAGCUAAAUAUUGGCCAGAGACCGAUAGCGCACAAGUAGAGUGAUCGAAAGAUGAAAAAAACUUUGGAAAGAGAGUUAAACAGCAUGUGAAAUUGUUGAAAGGGAAGCGCUUGCAGCCAGACUUGCCUGUAGUUGCUCAUCCGGGCUCUUGCCCGGUGCACUCUUCUGUAGGCAGGCCAGCAUCAGUUUGGGCGGUUGGAUAAAGGUCUCUGUCAUGUACCUCUCUUCGGGGAGGCCUUAUAGGGGAGGCGACAUACAACCAGCCUAGACUGAGGUCCGCGCAUUCGUGCUAGGAUGCUGGCGUAAUGGCUGUAAGCGGCCCGUCUUGAAACACGGACCAAGGAGUCUAACAUCUAUGCGAGUGUUUGGGUGUCAAGCCCGAGCGCGUAAUGAAAGUGAACGGAGGUGGGAACCCCUCGGGGUGCACCAUCGACCGAUCCUGAUGUCUUCGGAAGGAUUUGAGUAAGAGCAUGGCUGUUGGGACCCGAAAGAUGGUGAACUAUGCUUGAAUAGGGUGAAGCCAGAGGAAACUCUGGUGGAGGCUCGCAGCGGUUCUGACGUGCAAAUCGAUCGUCAAAUUUGGGCAUAGGGGCGAAAGACUAAU
rnacentral:rRNA from 1 species